AUGCGCUGCCUGACUAUACCAACUUCGGGCCCUGGCCCAGGCUGCACGUGCAGGGCAUCCCAUGGCCCGAGCCUCCACAGCAGCGCAGUGGCAGCGACCUACAAGUUCGUGAACAUGCGGGAACCCUCGAUGGACAGGACGGCUCAGACCCUGCUGUGGACUGAGCUUAUCCGAGGCCUGGGCAUGACCCUGAGCUACCUGUUCCGGGAGCCUGCCACUGAGCCCCUGCUUUCGGGGAGAGCGUGCGCUGAGUCGGCCAUCGGGAGGGGAGCGCUGCAUCGCCUGUAAGCUUUGUGAGGCUGCCCCGCCCAGGCCAUCACUAUCGAGGCCGAUCCGCGCGCGGGCGGAUGGCAGCAGCCGGACCACCCGCUACGACAUCGACAUGACCAAGUGCAUCUACUGCGGCUUCUGCCAGGAGGCCUGCCCCAUGGACGCCAUCGUCGAGGGCCCCAACUUCGAGUUCUCCACCGAGACGCACGAAGAGCUUCUGUACAAGGAGAAGCUGCUCAGCAACGGGGACAAGUGGGAGGCCGAGAUCACCGCCAACAUCCAGGCCGACUACCUCUACCGCUGACGCCCCC